AAAAGCCUCUGAAAUUGUCUGGAUGUGUUCCUUGGUUCAUUGCAGGGCGAGGAUUCAUCCCCUCCUGGAGUUUCCCAAAGAGAGAAGCAUUAGUCUUCUUCAUCUUUCUUUAUCUGUCAGUGAUCUCAGGAGAGUAACAGCCCUGGAGACAGCCUGAUGCCAGCUAGCAACAAAGAGUGCAAAGUGCUUUAUGAUCACGUAGCCCCACAAGAAUCCUGUGAGCCAACACAGACUGAAAGACAGUGUGUCAUUAUCUUGAACAAGGCAAAGCAAGGAUCUGAUUGUGAGCAAUUAAGGUUGGAUUGGAU